rnacentral:rRNA from 1 species
AGAGUUUGAUUAUGGCUCAGAGUGAACGCUGGCGGCGUGCUUAACACAUGCAAGUCGAACGGAUGAAAUAAGCUUGCUUAUUUCGUUAGUGGCGCACGGGUGAGUAAUGUAUAGCUAACCUGCCCUUUAGUGGGGGACAACAGUUGGAAACGACUGCUAAUACCCCAUACUCCAGCCUAUCAAAAGGUAGGUUGGGAAAGAUUUAUUGCUAAAGGAUGGGGCUUUAUGGUAUCAGCUAGUUGGUGGGGUAACGGCCUACCAAGGCAAUGACGCCUACCUGGUCUGAGAGGAUGAUCAGGCACACUGGAACUGAGACACGGUCCAGACUCCUACGGGAGGCAGCGGUGGGGAAUAUUGCACAAUGGGGGAAACCCUGAAUGCAGCAACGCCGCGUGGAGGAUGACGCAUUUCGGUGUGUAAACUCCUUUUAUAAGGGAAGAUAAUGACGGUACCUUAUGAAUAAGCACCGGCUAACUCCGUGCCAGCCGCGGC